UACAGGGGGGGCAAGCGUUGUUCGGAAUUACUGGGCGUAAAGGGCCAGUAGGCGGCCAACUAAGUCCGACGUGAAAUCCCCAGGCUUAACCUGGGAACUGCGUCGGAUACUGGAUGGCUUGAAUUCGGGAGAGGGAUGCAGAAUUCCCGGUGUAGCGGUGAAAUGCGCAGAUAUCGGGAGGAACACCUAUGGCGAAGGCAGCUCGCUGGGACGUUACUGACGCUGAGACGCGAAAGCGUGGGGAGCAA
rnacentral:rRNA from 1 species